GUAAGGAUCCUUCGAGAACGCAGGUAGUCCAGGUGGCGGUCAGCUCGGAUCUUAUCGCAGAGGUAGUGCCGCAGUCUGGUCAGCACCUGCAGAUGAAAGGGACGAAAAGCGAAUAUUUGAAGCCAAAAAGCAGGUGUCGGCUUCAUGUCCUAAAGAGUGCCAGUGUUCCUCUGAGGUCCCAGGGUGUGCAGCAGGAGUGAGUCUGGUGCUGGAUAACUGCAGAUGCUGUAAAGUUUGCGCUCGGCAGCUUUUUGAAGAUUGCAGCGCGAUUCGGUCAUGUGACGAAGCAAAGGGACUGGAGUGCAACCGUGGAAGAGGAUUGGACUUAUCUAAAGCUGAGUCGGAUGGAAGAACUUGUGAGUUGAACAGCAGCAUGUACCAGAACGGAGAAACCUUCCAGUCCAGCUGCAAACACCUGUGCACGUGCAUGGAUGGUUCUGCAGGAUCUCACUUUGUCCUUGUGAGACGUUCCCUUCAAACUAGGCUGUGCUGAGCCAAGUCCAUAAAGCUUUGACAAGUUGGUCACAGUUUGCCAGGAGUCCAGUGUUUACCUCAGACCACAGCCUGGUCCUCCUGCGGCGUUGGGACUCUCCACCAGGAUGACCAAUAACAACAUCAGGUGCAAACUAAUGACAGAAACUCAAAUCUGUGAGAUCCAAACCUGCAACAAGAUCACGUCCAAGAAAACCCAAAAGUGUAGCCACACAGGAAAAGUCACCCUACCGAUUCAUCUUUCCUACACUGGCUGCCAUAGCCUGAAGAAGCUCCAGCUCAAGCUCUGUGGGUCCUGCUUGGA